CCUACGGGAGGCAGCAGUGGGGGAUAUUGCACAAUGGGGGAAACCCUGAUGCAGCGACGCCGCGUGGGUGAAGAAGCGCCUCGGCGCGUAAAGCUCUGUCAGCAGGGAAGUAAAUGACGGUACCUGAAGAAGAAGCCCCGGCUAACUACGUGCCAGCAGCCGCGGUAAUACGGAGGGGGCAAGCGUUAUCCGGAUUUACUGGGUGUAAAGGGGGCGCAGACGGCGAUGCAAGCCAGGAGUGAAAGCCCGGGGCCCAACCCCGGGACUGCUCUUGGAACUGCGUGGCUAGAGUGCAGGAGGGGCAGGCGGAAUUCCUGGUGUAGCGGUGAAAUGCGUAGAUAUCAGGAGGAACACCGGUGGCGAAGGCGGCCUGCUGGACUGCAACUGACGUUGAGGCCCGAAAGCGUGGGGAGCAAACAGGAUUAGAUACCCGAGUAGUC
rnacentral:rRNA from 1 species